rnacentral:rRNA from 1 species
AUUAAACGACUUUCGGCAACGGAUAUCUCGGCUCUCGCAUCGAUGAAGAACGUAGCGAAAUGCGAUACUUGGUGUGAAUUGSAGAAUCCCGUGAACCAUCGAGUCUUUGAACGCAAGUUGCGCCCGAAGCCUUCGGGCCGAGGGCACGUCUGCCUGGGCGUCA